ACUUAAAAGAAACCCAGCUUCUUCCCUACCCAACAACCCAGCGCCCCCUGUUCCCCACCCUAUCCCGCCAACGCCUACUUCCCAACCUCUGUCUCCCACCCUCUCUCCCUCAACCUCCUCUCCAUCUCUUAGAUCCUUUGCAACAUUGUUUCGCUAUCCCAGAAAUGCCAGACCCCUAAUCUCUCUGUCGGCAAGCUCCGCACCCAAAACGACCUUGAUUCAAUCCUUGCUUGCCUCCACUACCACAUCGCCAAGAUUUUGAUCAAGAAUUGCGUCCUCCUCGAUGCCGACGCCGAGGUUUGCUCAGUAAUUAGCAAACUAGUGGCCAAUCAUGGGGUUGGGCCACCACGUAUGGUUAUGUAUUUUUGUUUGUUCUCAGAUUUUGCUGGGAUGAGAUUAUUGUUAGGGUUGUAUAGUCAGAGGUGGGGUGGAUCACAUUGUGGUUUGGUGUGACUUGGUGGGUGUGGGCGCUGGUUUAAUCAUACAAAUAUAGCUUCUUGUUGGUGGUUUCCCUUUAAUGAUAUAGGUAGUUUGUUUUAGGAAUAUAUCGAGACAACCAAGGAGCCUGGAGUCAUUUUUGGUAUCCAAAUUUGAUGGCAUACUUGGACUUGGAUUUCAA